rnacentral:misc_RNA from 1 species
GAUGAAGAACGUAGCGAAAUGCGAUAAGUAAUGUGAAUUGCAGAAUUCAGUGAAUCAUCGAAUCUUUGAACGCAUAUUGCGCCCGCCAGUAUUCUGGCGGGCAUGCCUGUUCGAGCGUCAUUUCAACCAUCAAGCCCCCGGCUUGUGUUGGGGACCUGCGGCUGCCGCAGGCCCUGAAAACCAGUGGCGGGCUCGCUAGUCACUCCGAGCGUAGUAAUACAUCUCGCUCAGGGCGUGCUGCGGGUUCCGGCCGUUAAAAAGCCUUAUUUACCCAAGGUUGACCUCGGAUCAGGUAGGAAGACCCGCUGAACUUAAGCAUAUCAAUAAGCGGAGGA